rnacentral:rRNA from 1 species
AGAGUUUGAUCCUGGCUCAGAAUGAACGCUGGCGGCGUGCUUAACACAUGCAAGUCGAACGAUGAAGCCUAGCUUGCUAGGUGGAUUAGUGGCGCACGGGUGAGUAAUAUAUAGUUAACGUGCCUCUUAGUCUGGGAUAGCCAUUGGAAACGAUGAUUAAUACUAGAUACUCCUUCUGAUUCUAAUUUCAGUCGGGAAAGUUUUUCGCUAAGAGAUCGGACUAUAUCGCAUCAGUUAGUUGGUAGGGUAAUGGCCUACCAAGACAAUGACGCGUAGCGGGUUUGAGAGGAUGAUCCGCCACACUGGUACUGAGACACGGACCAGACUCCUACGGGAGGCAGCAGUGAGGAAUAUUGCACAAUGGGGGAAACCCUGAUGCAGCAACGCCGCGUGGAGGAUGACGCAUUUCGGUGUGUAAACUCCUUUUAUGAGUCAAGAAAAUGACGGUAGCUCAUGAAUAAGCACCGGCUAACUCCGUGCCAGCAGCCGCGGUAAUACGGAGGGUGCAAGCGUUAUUCGGAAUCACUGGGCGUAAAGGACGCGUAGGCGGGAUGCCAAGUCUGAUGUGAAAUCCUAUGGCUUAACCAUAGAACUGCAUUGGAAACUGGUAAAAUCCGUAGAUAUCACUAGGAAUACCGAAAGCGAAGGCGAUCUCCUGGAACAAUACUGACGCUAAGGCGUGAAAGCGUGGGGAGCAAACGGGAUUAGAUACCCCGGUAGUCCACGCCCUAAACGAUGUUCACUAGUCGUCGGAAUGCUAGUCAUUUCGGUGAUGCACUUAACAGAUUAAGUGAACCGCCUGGGGAGUACGGUCGCAAGAUUAAAACUCAAAGGAAUAGACGGGGACCCGCACAAGUGGUGGAGCAUGUGGUUUAAUUCGACAUACGCGAAGAACCUUACCUAGCCUUGACAUUGAUUGAACACUUUAGAGAUAGAGUGGUGCCCUUCGGGGAACAUGAAAACAGGUGCUGCACGGCUGUCGUCAGCUCGUGUCGUGAGAUGUUGGGUUAAGUCCCGCAACGAGCGCAACCCUCGUCCUUAGUUGCCAGCAGGUUAAGCUGGGCACUCUAAGGAGACUGCCUUCGCAAGGAGGAGGAAGGUGAGGACGACGUCAAGUCAUCAUGGCCCUUAUGGCUAGGGCUACACACGUGCUACAAUGGGGCGUACAGAGAGUUGCGAUACCGCGAGGUGGAGCCAAUCUCAUAAAGCGUCUCUCAGUUCGGAUUGGAGUCUGCAACUCGACUCCAUGAAGCUGGAAUCACUAGUAAUCGUAGAUCAGCAAUGCUACGGUGAAUACGUUCCCGGGUCUUGUACUCACCGCCCGUCACACCAUGGGAGUUGAUUUCACCCGAAAUUGGGAAGCUAACCUUCGGGGGGCUACCACUUACGGUGGAAUUAGCGACUGGGGUGAAGUCGUAACAAGGUA